rnacentral:rRNA from 1 species
AUGAACGCUGGCGGCGUGCCUAAUACAUGCAAGUCGAGCGAACAGACGAGGAGCUUGCUCCUCUGACGAUAGCGGCGGACGGGUGAGUAACACGUGGAUAACCUACCUAUAAGACUGGGAUAACUUCGGGAAACCGGAGCUAAUACCGGAUAAUAUAUUGAACCGCAUGGUUCAAUAGUGAAAGACGGUUUUGCUGGCACUUAUAGAUGGAUCCGCGCCGCAUUAGCUAGUUGGUAAGGUAACGGCUUACCAAGGCAACGAUGCGUAGCCGACCUGAGAGGGUGAUCGGCCACACUGGAACUGAGACACGGUCCAGACUCCUACGGGAGGCAGCAGUAGGGAAUCUUCCGCAAUGGGCGAAAACUUGACGGAGCAACGCCGCGUGAGUGAUGAAGGUCUUCGGAUCGUAAAACUCUGUUAUUAGGGAAGAACAAAUGUGUAAGUAACUAUGCACGUCUUGACGGUACCUAAUCAGAAAGCCACGGCUAACUACGUG